rnacentral:rRNA from 1 species
UACGGAGGGAGCUAGCGUUGUUCGGAAUUACUGGGCGUAAAGCGCGCGUAGGCGGCUUUGUAAGUUAGAGGUGAAAGCCCGGAGCUCAACUCCGGAACUGCCUUUAAAACUGCAUCGCUUGAAUCCAGGAGAGGUGAGUGGAAUUCCGAGUGUAGAGGUGAAAUUCGUAGAUAUUCGGAAGAACACCAGUGGCGAAGGCGGCUCACUGGACUGGUAUUGACGCUCAGGCACGAAAGCGUGGGGAGCAAACAGG